CGGAGGGAACAGUGGAGAAACCGGAGAUUUGGUCGGAGACGAAAACGUUUCUCAAUGCGUAGCCCCGUCACUUCACAAGACACGGGAAACAUCUGUUGGUCUGGAGGAGCUGCAGCAGUUAUUUCUGCAUAAACGUCCACUGUACAUUCACUAGAUAUUCUCAAAGCUAAAUUAACUCUU